rnacentral:lncRNA from 1 species
GGUGGAGGAAACUCAGGUGCAAGGAAGCAGCACUCAGCACAAGCAAACACUGUCGUUGCUGUUGCAACUGUACCUUCUUCAUUUACUUCAAUAAAAGACUUGUGAAUUGCAUCUGUGACACAAAUAUCUGAGCCAUCAACAAUCUCUGUGAGCUCCCUGUUCUUCUCAAAAAUCAUAGUCAAUCCCAAUUCUCUCAUUAUUUUCUUAGCAUCUAUCUCAUAAGAGAACUUGAACUUGGGAAUAUAAAUCUUGGAAAGUUUCACUUGUUGAAGCUCCCAAUUCUGAUGUAACAAUCUCGGAUCUGAAGUGAAGUGUUGUAUUAAUUCUUGCAGGCCAUCUUUCUUAUCAGGAAGAAAGAUGUACAUGGAAAAUUGUUUGCUGUCUUGACCAGAAUUGUAUGGCAGCUUCAGAAGUUUGAAACCCUCAAAUGAUCCAUAGAACUGUGGCUUACUAGGGUAGCUAAUCAUGAAGAGAAC